AGUGCACAUUGUUAGAGCUUGGAGUUUAGGCCACUGAUUGGCCAGUGAAAUCACAAGUGUAGGUAGAGUGCUACAUGAGAGGCAAGUUUUUCACUCACACCACAAGGGUCUCUGGCCCCAACGAGUGGAGUUUGAUAGUAAUCCUUGCUACAAGU